rnacentral:pre_miRNA from 1 species
CUACUACUCCCUCCGUCUCAAAAUAAGUGACUCAAAAAUGACUUGGUUUUGUACUAACUUUAGUACAAAGUUGAGUAAAUUUUGAGUCACUUAUUUUGGGACGGAGGGAGUACUAC